UACAGAGGAUGCAAGCGUUAUCCGGAAUGACUGGGCGUAAAGCGUCUGUAGGUGGCUUUUUAAGUCCGCCGUCAAAUCCCAGGGCUCAACUCUGGACAGGCGGUGGAAACUACCAAGCUGGAGUACGGUAGGGGCAGAGGGAAUUUCCGGUGGAGCGGUGAAAUGCGUAGAGAUCGGAAGGAACGCCCGUGGCGAAAGCGGCUCACUGGACCGGUACUGACGCUGAGGCGCGAAAGCGUGGGGAGCAAACAGG
rnacentral:rRNA from 1 species